AGCAGCAGCCGCGGGAAUACGAAGGGUGCAAGCGUUAAUCGGAAUUACUGGGCGUAAAGCGUGCGUAGGCGGUGAGUUAAGUCUGCUGUGAAAUCCCCGGGCUCAACCUGGGAAUGGCAGUGGAUACUGGCUCGCUAGAGUGUGUCAGAGGAUGGUGGAAUUCCCGGUGUAGCGGUGAAAUGCGUAGAGAUCGGGAGGAACAUCAGUGGCGAAGGCGGCCAUCUGGGACAACACUGACGCUGAGGCACGAAAGCGUGGGGGGCAAACAGGAUUAGAUACCCGGUAGUCCCUGUCUCUUAUACA
rnacentral:rRNA from 1 species